ensembl:lincRNA
AUGAGUCUGAAGAGCGCAUUGGACCAGCUCUUUCCACUUACACCGCUGAAGCCUGGCUCAGCCUCCGCUAUCGAGCGUCUACUAGUUUCUAGUCUCUUACUAUCUCCCUGCUUUCAGCCUGUGGCUUAUCAUACAACCUAUUGUGCUAGACUUGAAAACCCUGCAAGAGGCUAUGCUGUGGUUCUCCUUAAAAAUUCCUCAGAUGCUACUCACAAAGUAAAGAGAAUGAGAUAUGCACAAAGACUGCCUGAGAGCAAGGGUCGCACAGCCUGCCUACUGCAAGCGCUUAGCAGUGACUACAGAAUUUUGUACCUGCCAGGAGCUCAAGAAACACUGCAGCUUCAGGACAGGAGUGCCGUCACCACACUGGACAAUUCUGAGGCCCCAUCCACACAGCCGCCUAUGUGUGCAGUGACCAUACAGUGUGAACUACCCAGCCUGUGCAGCUGAGGGGACAGUCUGCCAUAGGAUCAGCCCAGAUGUACCACAGCUGCUGAGUUCAGCUGGCCCACUUCAGUCACUAGGGAGCAUCAAUGUGACCACAGGUCUCUCGAACCUCUAUGCAGCAGGCAAAUCAUAUCCCAAGACAUGUGGUUGUGACAUCAGAGUGUGGUGGUAUUCUAAUUGAACUGUACUUCUGCAAAAACAUGGAUUUUGCAAUUUAGAAGCUCCUUCCCACAUUCUCUGUAUCGAGAUAAACAAGGGCUAGAAGAAAACAGUUCCAGGCAACACUUGUCGGGAUCUACAGAGAAGUUAGCCCAACACAGCCUUGUCUAGAAAAACACAAUCUUUCUCUCCUGGGUAUGGGACAGAUUGAAAAGCUAUUUCCCCAUCCUUCCCCUUCUUCGUAGAAACAGAAUGUCUGCCUAGGUUGGUGUGUGUCCCCCCCCCCCCCAAUACCUCUUUCCCUGUCAUCUGCCUUCAGCACCACAGAAGGCAUCACCAACACUUCACCCCUUGUUGCACAACUAUGGACAGUGGCAUUCAUCUCACAACAGAAAAAAAAAAUGUGUCUCUCGUUAUCUGAAUGCUACCCUGGAGAUGGGUGGCCAAGAAGCCCUGCACAGCACACACCCUUUAGCACACAAACAUCCACAGGUUAGAAAAAGCAGGGGCAUGGAGAAAACCCUGACCUAUCAAGAAGAUAAAAGCAGAGAAAAACGCCUAGAGCCAGGAAGAAUCCUUGGGUCAUUCUUCACUCAACAGAAUUAUAAGGAAGAGCAAUUAAGCUUGGUGAUUAGGGGCCUGCUAGUACCACUAGUAGCUAAAUAGAAGAGAGAGAAAGCCCCAGAAUAUAUCCUAAGGAAGCCGGGGUGGUUUGGUACUGAGAGUGGUUAAUUAGAGGUGGAGGUGGGAAAUGAGUUUUAUCUGGCAUAUGCCAAAGAUUCAAGGGUUUCAAAGAAAAGGGUGGUUACAGAAAAUGUGUGUGUGUGUGUGUUUGGGGGGGCGGGUAAAAGAUUUUAAUGUCAUCUAGGACAGCCGUGUAUGAAGCAGAAGCAGAAGCAGCAGGCUAUUGCUUAUAGGAAGAAAAGAGCUAGAAGCUGCCUGACCCUUGGAGCAGCUCUACACAUGGGAAGGAGACUCAGUAAGUAAGGAAAUGGGGGCCUGGGGUGACAAAUCUGAGAAAUCAAGAAAAAAAAAAAAACUGGAAAAACAAAACCAGAAUCAUUCAAGGGGUCAUGGAGGCAAGAGAGAAUUUUUCAGAGAAACACAGGCUUUUCUAGUGAGCAUCACAGAAAAACAUAAAGGGGCUGGAUGGUCACUAGAGACUCUUGAGAGGUUGGCUGGAGUGUCCAGUCCCUGAGGAACGGAGGAGGCCUUGCCGCCCGGAGCAGGUCACACUGAAGGAAAGCAGCCAGAACUGUGGAAGAACAGACGACCUGAGCUGGGAGCUUGACUACAGAAAGUUAAAAAUGGCUACAGUUUAAAGACUCUUUAAAAGGAAAUGAAUUGUUUUAUGCACUCACUGGUUUAUUGAGCUGUGGUCACAUCUGGUGAUGGGGGAACAACUUGUAGGUGUCAGUACUGCCCCUUCCACCACGAGGGACCCCGGGAUCGAACUCAGGCCGUCAGGCUUGGUGGCAAGUACCUUUACCCAUGAGCCAUCUUACCAAGCCCUUAAGUUUACUGCCUCUCAGUGUAGUUCUAUAAAAGAGAUGGGAUCACCAGGAUGCACUGUUGAUCUUAAGUACAUACUGCCAAAGAGCAAGCACUGUUCCAUCUGCCUGGCAGGAACAAACCGGAACCCGCCUGAGGACCAAGAGGCUGCUUCCUGGGAUCCUCUCAGCCAGAAUAAUAAUCAAAAACCCUUCUGCCCCACCCCUCAAAAUGUAUUUAUUUAAAGAUGAUAUUAGCCUUUUUACAAAGACUAUGAAAAUACCCAUAACAUAAUUCUGCUCCGCCCCUCCUCAAAAAACAAACAAAAAACCACUCCUUUACCAAGACUAAAACUGGGCCUGUGACUUUCUUUCUCCAGGAAAAAAAAUUCCAGACCAAGAGUAUUCCUGUUGAAAUCCCAAUAAAGCUUUGAAGGACUCCAAAAUCUCACCUGAAGGUUAUAUUCCACGGGCACAGAGUUAAGAUUAUCAUUUACAAAUUACACUUUAGAAAAAAGAAGCUGAUAUCUAAAACUAUAAUUUUAAGUAUUGAUGUCUCUACAUACAUUGUACUAUAAUCGUCACAUGUAAUUGCCUGAGAGGUAAAGGGCAAUUGCUAACAUUUCCUACCCCCCCUCCCUUCUUCCCUCCCUUCCUUGCUCCCUCCCUC